UGCACCAAUGAUGACUUCAUUGAGCUGCAAUGAUUGCAUAUAUGAUCACAAUAAUGAACAUCUAAGGGACUGAGGUGCU